UAAUAAUAAUAAUAAUAAUAAAGACAUGAAGGGGCAUAAUUUAUUAGUUCCCUAUUGAAGAAAAAUGUAUUAGCAACCAGAGCACACCACGUAGAAGGCACAUGAGUUAGAAUAAGUGGUUAUUUAUUGAUAAGUCGGCUGUUAAAAUUGGAGGUAAAUGUUCUUCUCAUACAAAGUAAAAGAACGCAACAUUUCAUAAUAACAUGACAUGAAAUAAAAUUUGCACAUACCUUGUGCCCAAAGUAGUGGCCAGCAGGGUCACAUUUAUAGAGCCUAGGCCCAUAUUCCUCG
rnacentral:misc_RNA from 1 species